AGUGAAUAGAUACCCCGGUAGUCCACGCCCUAAACGAUGUCUACUAGUUGUCGGGGAUUCAUUUCCUUGGUAAACGCAGCUAAACGCGUGAAGUAGACCGCCUGGGGAGGUACGGCCGCAAGGUUAAAACUCAAAGGAAUUGACGGGGACCCGCACAAGCGGUGGAUGAUGUGGAUUAAUUACGAUGCAACGCGAAAAACCUUAACCUACGCUUGACAUGCCAGGAACUUUCCAGAGAUGGAUUGGUGCCCGAAAGGGAACCUGGACACAGGUGCUGCAUGGCUGUCGUCAGCUCGUGUCGUGAGAU
rnacentral:rRNA from 1 species